CAAAUGGAUGGGUGAAAGUGAGAAGCUAGUUUCAAAUCUUUUCCAAAUGGCUCGUGAUAAUGCUCCUUCCAUCAUUUUCAUUGAUGAAAUUGAUUCAUUAUGUGGUAAACGGGGUGAAGGCAACGAGAGUGAAGCAUCUCGGCGCAUCAAAACAGAACUUUUAGUGCAAAUGCAGGGUAUAGGGAAUGAUGAUCAUAAAGUUCUUGUUCUUGCAGCCACAAAUACACCCUAUGCUCUGGAUCAGGCCAUUCGGAGGCGUUUUGACAAGAGAAUAUACAUUCCGCUCCCAGAUUUGAAGGCAAGGAAACACAUUUUUAAGGUGCAUCUUGGAGAUACUCCGCACAAUUUGACCGAAAGUGAUUUUGAGCACUUGGCUCAGAAAACAGAAAGCUUUUCAGGUUCAGAUAUUUCCAUCUGUGUUAAAGAUGUACUUUUUGAGCCUGUUCGUAAAACCAGAG
rnacentral:misc_RNA from 1 species